UACAGAGGGUGCAAGCGUUAAUCGGAAUUACUGGGCGUAAAGCGCAUGUAGGUGGUUUAAUAAGUUUGAUGUGAAAUCCCUGGGCUUAACCUGGGAAUGGCGUUGAAUACUGAUAGACUAGAGUUUGACAGAGGGUCGUGGAAUUUCCGGUGUAGCGGUGAAAUGCGUAGAGAUCGGAAAGAACACCAGUGGCGAAGGCGGCGACCUGGGUCUAAACUGACACUGAGGUGCGAAAGCGUGGGGAGCAAACAGG
rnacentral:rRNA from 1 species